rnacentral:lncRNA from 1 species
GCUUCUUUCAGAAUGUCCAACCUAACUUCGGGGUCAUUAGGCACCCAUACUCAAAUCUCGGAAUCAGAAGAGCCCAUCGUUGGUCAUCCUAAAGUCACGAGGUUCCUCUGACCUAAACUCGUCUAUUUUCUUCAAAAUCUCGGGAUCUGUAGACUGGGAUUCCCAAAUUCUCAUGAAGAGAGUGAGCUGGAUUUGAAUUUUGGCGAGGUAUACGCCUUUGCCAUAAUGAUUUAAGUGGAGGUUCUGAAUUGUCUCAAGUAUCCUCCAACCAGAAACCACCAUCUAUGUCAAUAGGGCUCAGUCCUUCCUGCUAAAAGCAUUUACAACUACAUUACCCCCUACCUGGGUGGUAUAGGAUCCUGCAGUCAUAAUCCUUCAGGAGGUUCAUCCAAUGUCUAUUUCUCAUGUUCAAUUCUUUAUGAGAAAAUAAUUACUUUAAACCCU